rnacentral:rRNA from 1 species
GACGAACGCUGGCGGCGUGCUUAACACAUGCAAGUCGAACGGACAGGCCCUGCUUUUGUGGGGUGCUCGAGUGGCGAACGCGUGUGUAACACGUGAGUAACCUGCCCUUGUCUUUGGGAUAACUUCAGGAAACUGGGGCUAAUACCGGAUAUGAGCUCCUGCUGCAUGGUGGGGGUUGGUAAGUUUCGGCGGUUGGGGCUGGACUCGCAGCUUAUCAGCUUGUUGGUGUGGUAGUGGCUUACCAAGGCUUUGACGGGUAGCCGGCAUGAGAGGGUUACCGGCCACAAUGGGACUGAGAGACGGCCCAGAAGGCUACGGGAGGCAGCAGGGGGGAAUAUUGCACAAUGGGCGGAAGCCUGAGGCAGCAACGCCGCGUGCGGGAUGACGGCCUUCGGGGUGUAAACCGAUGUCGCAUGUGACGAAGCGUGAGUGACGGUAAUGGGUAAAGAAGCAACGGCUAACUACGUG